GAAAAAAGUACCAUGAAAUUAAUAGAAAAAUAACCAACGAGAAGCUGCAUCGAAUAACUCAAAUUAGUCUAAAAAAUCGAAAACUAAGAUCGAAAUAGAGAAAUUUCAACUGAACAAAGAAAUUUAUUCCUAAAGCAAUUUCCAACACUAAUUAGGGCUGUAAAAACAUGAACCCUAAUUGUAUUUAGAAGAAGAAAAUAUUUGAUCAAUAUAGAUACGAAAAAAGAUCGACAAUUAAAAGAAAAUAAAGAAUUGACUGAAUUUAACAGUUAAAAUUUAAUUUUAGUCAUAAAAUUAACAAAUCUGAUCAGAAAUUAUGUCAAUUACCUCAAAUUUUC
rnacentral:misc_RNA from 1 species